UACGUAGGGUGCAAGCGUUAAUCGGAAUUACUGGGCGUAAAGCGUGCGCAGGCGGUUCGCUAAGACCGAUGUGAAAUCCCCGGGCUUAACCUGGGAACUGCAUUGGUGACUGGCGGGCUAGAGUAUGGCAGAGGGGGGUAGAAUUCCACGUGUAGCAGUGAAAUGCGUAGAGAUGUGGAGGAAUACCGAUGGCGAAGGCAGCCCCCUGGGCCAAUACUGACGCUGAGGUGCGAAAGCGUGGGGAGCAAACAGG
rnacentral:rRNA from 1 species